GAUGAAGAACGCAGCGAAAUGCGAUACGUAAUGUGAAUUGCAGAUUUCAGUGAAUCAUCGAAUCUUUGAACGCACAUUGCGCCCGCCAGUAUUCUGGCGGGCAUGCCUGUUCGAGCGUCAUUUCAACCCUCGAGCCCCCCCGGGGGCCUCGGUGUUGGGGGACGGCACACCAGCCGCCCCCGAAAUGCAGUGGCGACCCCGCCGCAGCCUCCCCUGCGUAGUAGCACACACCUCGCACCGGAGCGCGGAGGCGGUCACGCCGUAAAACGCCCAACUUUCUUAGAGUUGACCUCGGAUCAGGUAGGAAUACCCGCUGAACUUAAGCAUAUCAAUAAGCGGAGGA
rnacentral:misc_RNA from 1 species